rnacentral:rRNA from 1 species
AGCGAACGCUGGCGGCAGGCUUAACACAUGCAGGUCGAGCGGGCAUCUUCGGAUGUCAGCGGCAGACGGGUGAGUAACACGUGGGAACGUACCCUUCGGUUCGGAACAACUCUGGGAAACUGGAGCUAAUACCGGAUACGCCCUUAUGGGGAAAGGUUUACUGCCGCAGGAUCGGCCCGCGUCUGAUUAGCUGGUUGGUGGGGUAACGGCCUACCAAGGCGACGAUCAGUAGCUGGUCUGAGAGGCUGAUCAGCCACACUGGGACUGAGACACGGCCCAGACUCCUACGGGAGGGAGGAGAGGGUAAUAUUGGACAAUGGGGGCAGGCCUGAUCCAGCCAUGCCGGGUGAGUGAUGAAGGCCGUAGGGUUGUAAAGCUCUUUUGUCCGGGACGAUAAUGACGGUACCGGAAGAAUAAGCCCCGGCUAACUACGUG